rnacentral:rRNA from 1 species
UACGGGGGGGGUAAGCGUUGUUCGGAAUUACUGGGCGUAAAGGGCUCGUAGGCGGCCAACUAAGUCAGACGUGAAAUCCCUCAGCUUAACUGGGGAACUGCGUCUGAUACUGGAUGGCUUGGAUUCGGGAGAGGAAUGCGGAAUUCCAGGUGUAGCGGUGAAAUGCGUAGAUAUCUGGAGGAACACCGGUGGCGAAGGCGGCAUCCUGGACCGAUACUGACGCUGAGGAGCGAAAGCUAGGGGAGCAAACGGG